rnacentral:lncRNA from 1 species
GUUUGGGAAGGUUGGACUUAGAUUUUUGAGAGUUGUAAAAAUCUCUUCCUUAUCUGGGAGCACAUUAUUUUGGUUAUGUUUCUUGCUUUUACAUUUAUUUAGUGUAUUCUAAACAUUUCAAGACACACAAUCAGUAAGAUCAUUAGAAACAGAAUAUGGCCCUUUCCUCAUCCUGGCCACAAAGAGAUAGAGCACUCUAUUUAAUAUUUAGCAGACGCAUUAGUAUUUUAAUACUAUUUGAUAUUUCUAUGUGCAGAAUUUUUUAUUUAAAAAAGUGAGAGUUUUUGUGGUAAAGUCAUAAAUGUUAAAGUCCUUUGAAAACAAACUUGGUCAUUCUGAUAUUUGCUUUAUUUAAUCUAUAAAGUCUGAUAAAAUGUUUCCUCUUUAUUGGAUAUUUUUUAUAUUUUAGUUUCAGUUAAAGAGCCAGUCUUACAUGCAGUUCUUCAGCAGCCCAAGUUUAUCUUCAACUUCUUUCCACUUUCCCUGUCCAUGUUUGGCUUCUCUUGCUAAAUGAUCUUUUCUUGCCCAGGCUGGGAACUCUUCUCAGCAGUGCUGUAUCCUUUGGACCAC